AUUGAACGCUGGCGGAAUGCUUUACACAUGCAAGUCGAACGGCAGCACGGACUUCGGUCUGGUGGCGAGUGGCGAACGGGUGAGUAAUACAUCGGAACGUGCCCAGUCGUGGGGGAUAACGUAGCGAAAGCUACGCUAAUACCGCAUACGAUCUAAGGAUGAAAGCGGGGGAUCGCAAGACCUCGCGCGAUUGGAGCGGCCGAGGGCAGAUUAGGUAGUUGGUGGGGUAAAGGCGCACCAAGCCGACGAUCUGUAGCUGGUCUGAGAGGACGACCAGCCACACUGGGACUGAGACACGGCCCAGACUCCUACGGGAGGCAGCAGUGGGGAAUUUUGGACAAUGGGCGCAAGCCUGAUCCAGCCAUUCCGCGUGCAGGAUGAAGGCCCUCGGGUUGUAAACUGCUUUUGUACGGAACGAAAAGGCUCUGGUUAAUACCCGGGGCUCAUGACGGUACCGUAAGAACAAGCACCGGCUAACUACGUGCCAGCCGCCGCGGUAA
rnacentral:rRNA from 1 species